rnacentral:rRNA from 1 species
GUCGAGAAUCUUUCACAAUGGGGGCAACCCUGAUGGAGCGACGCCGCGUGGAGGAUAAGGUCUUCGGAUUGUAAACUCCUGUCAUGCGUGAACAAGGUUGCUUGGUUAAUACCUGGGCAAAUUGAUGGUAACGCAAGAGGAAGAGACGGCUAACUCUGUGCCAGCAGCCGCGGUAAUACAGAGGUCUCAAGCGUUGUUCGGAAUCACUGGGCGUAAAGGGUGCGUAGGUGGCGUGGUAAGUCAGAUGUGAAAGCCCGGGGCUCAACCUCGGAACUGCAUCCGAUGCUGCCAUGCUAGAGUACUGGAGAGGUGACUAGAAUUCUCGGUGUAGCAGUGAAAUGCGUAGAUAUCGAGAGGAAUACCAAAGGCGUAGGCAGGUCACUGGACAGUUACUGACACUGAGGCACGAAGGCCAGGGGAGCGAACGGGAUUAGAAACCCGAGUAGUCC